CAGCCGCCACGGGAAUACGUAGGGUGCAAGCGUUAAUCGGAAUUACUGGGCGUAAAGCGUGCGCAGGCGGUUAUAUAAGACAGAUGUGAAAUCCCCGGGCUCAACCUGGGAACUGCAUUUGUGACUGUAUGGCUAGAGUACGGCAGAGGGGGAUGGAAUUCCGCGUGUAGCAGUGAAAUGCGUAGAUAUGCGGAGGAACACCGAUGGCGAAGGCAAUCCCCUGGGCCUGUACUGACGCUCAUGCACGAAAGCGUGGGGAGCAAACAGGAUUAGAUACCCGCGUAGUCCCUGUCUCUUAUAC
rnacentral:rRNA from 1 species